rnacentral:rRNA from 1 species
UACGUAGGUGGCAAGCGUUGUCCGGAAUUAUUGGGCGUAAAGCGCUCGCAGGUGGUUCGUUGCGUCGUGCGUGAAAGACCCCGGCUCAACUGGGGAGUGUCGUGCGAUACGGGCGAACUGGAGGCCAGUAGGGGGAUGCGGAAUUCCGGGUGUAGUGGUGGAAUGCGUAGAGAUCCGGAGGAACACCAGCGGCGAAGGCGGCAUCCUGGACUGGUCCUGACACUCAGGAGCGAAAGCGUGGGGAGCGAUCCGG